GACGGAGGAUGCAAGCGUUAUCCGGAAUUAUUGGGCGUAAAGCGUCCGCAGGUGGACAUACAAGUCUGCUGUCAAAGUGCAGAGCUUAACUCUGUAAAGGUGGUGGAAACUGUAGGUCUUGAGUAUGGUAGGGGUAGAGGGAAUUCCCGGUGUAGCGGUGAAAUGCGUAGAUAUCGGGAAGAACACCAGUGGCGAAAGCGCUCUACUGGGCCAUAACUGACACUGAGGGACGAAAGCUAGGGGAGCGAAAGGG
rnacentral:rRNA from 1 species